UAUGCACAGUUUAAAGACUAACGGUAUAAUUUGGGAGGGGAGGAGGAAAUAUGAGUUUUAGAUUCAGACAAGCCUGAUGUUUGAAGACCUGCUGAAUAUUUAUGAGCUGCACGUUCCUUUGGAUGCGUUACUUAACCUCUCUAAUGCUCAGUUUCCAAAUUUGUAAAAUGGAAGUGGUAAUACUCUAGAGCUCCUUGCAGGAUAAAUUCCUAACCUUAAUCAUAUCUUUGUCUCUCCAAAGGGCUAAAAUGAUUUUCUCAAAAUAUUGAAAGAGGAGCUUGCAGAAUCUAGUUCUUCUGCCACUCAAUCUAUUCCUUUUUCCACUACAUCAUGGGACUAUGCUUUGUACUCCCAACCAAGUCUGGAGUGCUUGGCAGUGACGUAUGAGACUGGAGAGCAGAGGACUGUUAUCUGUAGAAGACAGGUAUUUGACCAGAGCUGUGCUGCAGGAUGCAGGCAGACGGACAAGUUGACACCGAAGAGCCAAUGCACAGGCCACAAGAAAAACAUCCACAGUGAAGCUGCAGUGACAGCCUCUCCUUACUGGGCAAAGUCAGCUUACCUCCCACUCCCAUCGGUCCUACCGCCAGAACCAUUGCGGAAUCCUGAACUAUGAACCUCCGUGUUCACUUCUCUAGAGGUGCGGAACAUUCCUCUGAAACUGAGGCUUUCUGAAGGAAGCUAAUUUUGUUGUUUUGUUUUGUUUUUUGUUUUUUUGAAAUGGAGUUUUGCUCUUGUUUCCCAGGCUGGAGUGCAAUGGCAUGAUCUUGGCACACUGCAACCUCCGCCUCUUGGGCUCGAGGGAUUCUCCUGCCUCAGCCUUCCAAAUGGCUGGGAUUACAGGCAUGCGCCACCAUGCCCGGCAAAUUUUGUAUUUUUCUUUUAGUAGUGACGGCGUUUCUCCAUGUUAGUCAGGCUGGUCUCGAACUCCUGACUUCAGGUGAUCCGCCUGCCUCGGCCUCCCAAAGUGCUGGGAUUACAGGUGUGAGCCAGCAUGAAAUUUUUCAUUGCUACU
rnacentral:lncRNA from 1 species